rnacentral:rRNA from 1 species
UACGUAGGGUGCGAGCGUUGUCCGGAAUUAUUGGGCGUAAAGAGCUUGUAGGCGGUUUGUCGCGUCUGCUGUGAAAAUCCGGGGCUCAACCCCGGACUUGCAGUGGGUACGGGCAGACUAGAGUGUGGUAGGGGGAGACUGGAAUUCCUGGUGUAGCGGUGAAAUGCGCAGAUAUCAGGAGGAACACCGAUGGCGAAGGCAGAUCUCUGGGCCGUAACUGACGCUGAGGAGCGAAAGCAUGGGGGAGCGAACAGG